CAUAAAAUUUCACUUUGAAAUAAAAAGAAUAAAGCGUAAACAUAUAAGUUAAUUAAGUUAAAAACAAAAAUCAUAUAUAUGACGAAAAAAGUAUAUAUACUAAUAUAGAAAACUAGUGGACAAGACCAUUGGCAGUUUUAUUACCAGCCAUCUUUUGAUUCUUCUUCUUGUUUUGUUUAUUGGCUCUAUAAGAUUGAAUUGAAGUAUCCAUGGUUCCACCUGUAGUCUUCAUCCUCUUAUAUUCAGCUUGGUCGUCUUCUAACAUCUUCAUGAAGGAAUUAUACUUGGCAUUUUGUUUAUUGGAUUUUUCCGUUCUAUUUUCAUGCCAUGCACUUGCAAUCACUUGUGAAUCUUUUCUAAGUUGUCUACUGGCUUGUCUUCUAGCAGUAUUGACUUCUUUUUUCAAUCUAGACAAAUAAUGUUUCUUUUCAUGUUCAUAUUGGGAUUCUUUGGGACCAUGUUUGGCUCUAAGCAUAGCUUUUGCAGCAAAUGGAACAGAUGGAUCAUCAAUUUUGGGAAUCAAAGAUCUAAUUGUUGGAGUUUGUCUUGGACAAAGACUAAUUGGUUUUUGAGGUCUAUUGGCAAUUUCUGUAGAGAUCGAUUCAAUUUCAGAAACCAAAUUUAACAAUACUUUACAAUUAUCCAUCUUCAUUAAUGAUUCAUUAAUUUGUUUGAUAUUUUCACGGAUAAGAUGAAUAAUAAUAGCAUGGAACCCUUGUAAAUCUUUAAAAGCAGAAAUUACUCUAAUUAAAGAUUUAAGAAUUCCUAUUGAUAAUGAAAUUCUUUUUUCUUCAAUGGAAAUAUUAUUAUCAGGAUCAGACAAUAACAGCCAUUUAAGGCAACUUAAUGAUAAAGUAAAGUAACCAAUACUAAAUCUUUCAAGCAAUUCAUUACCAUUAUUAUUUGAUUUACUAUUUGCAUAACCAAUACUAGAUAUCUCCAAUAGACAGAUUACUCCAAUCAUGCAACUAAUAUUUGGGUUACUACCCCCAACAAGCCUUAUUUGGUUGUAUUUAAACUCUUCACUAUCUUGAUCUGGUGUGUUAGUGUUUAGUAAAGAUUUCCCAACUUGACUCCAUCUGUGAGCCCAUUGUUCCAAGCAUAUAAUAACUGGAGUUAAUAUUGGAUGUUGAGCAUCAGUAACUGGGAAUAAUAUAAACAUCAUUCUACAUAUCACAAUAUGUUCUAAAGUCAGUUCAUAUAUAUCUUCAGAAAGUUGGUAUAAAGAUGGACAUUCUUCUAAUAUUUCAGUAUAAUAGUUUUCAUUUUCUACAUUUAAAAGAUUAUCAUUUAAAAACUUUUCAACUUUUUUAUAUUUGUGAUAAACACUUGGAAAUGUUGUAUGACAAAUUUCAAAUGUAAAGUAAGUGAAAAUGAUAAGGCAUUCUUUUGGAUCAGUUUCUGCCAUAAAUAAUAAAUGACUACUCAUAAGCUUAAGAUAAUUAAUAAUAAAUUGAAAAAUAUUCUUCUUUUCAGAAUCUGAUUCUGCUGUUCUUAGACAAUUUAAUGGAUAUUUAAUAAGAAAACCAAUAAGAAGUUUUAAGUCAUUCAACAUUGCAGUAUCUCCCUUAUUAAAGCAUGAUCUAAAUCUGCAAAUAAAUUUCCAUUGAGAUUUUGGAGAAAAUCCAUUCAUAAAUUCCAUAAGUCCCUUCAAACUAUAUUCCUUCAAGAUUUUCUUCAAAUUAACACUAAAUGGUAAAUUUGGUUCAGAUUCAUCGUUCACCAACCAAUCAAUUUCAUCAAUUUCAUUUAAUUCGAAAUCAAUGAAUCCUUUAGAUGCGGGUUUCACUCUCUCCUCAUCAUCCUCACCGUCCUCUUCUUCCCCCUCCCCAUCUUCUUCUUCCUCUUCAAAGCAGUCCUUUUCUACUUUCCGUCCCUCAUCUUCCUCUUCUUCCUCCUCUUCUUCCUCCUCUUCUUCCUCCUCUUCCUCCUCCUCUUCUUCUUCCUCUUCUUCUUCCUCUUCUUCAUCUUCUUCUUCAUCUUCAAAGCCGUCCUCUUCUUCACCAUCUUCAUCAUCAAAGUCGUCCUUAAAGUACUCAUUUUCCGAUUCAGUACUCAAGUCAAUGUCAAUAUUGGAAUCAUCAAGAUUCAUUCUUUCUUUUCUCUCCUUUUCAAGCCUCUCAAGUUUUUCAGCAUUAAGUUUUGCAAUUUCUUCAUCAGUUUUAAUUCUAUCAGAAACACCAGUUCUUGUAUCAAACUUUAGAAGAUUUCUGAGUUGUUCAUAUUCAUCCAAUUCUUCAAUAUUCUUGUCAGAUGACUGAAUAUUAUUAUCAUUACCAUUAUUAUCAGUAACAGAAGAAUUAGAAUUAAUAUUAUUCAGUAAAGAAUUGACUCUGUCUUUUCUUGACUGUUUAUAACUAAGCAUUGAUUGAACUUGAGAAAAUGCACUAUCUAAAUUAACCAACUCCUCCUCUAGACUUUCUCUAUGUCUCUU
rnacentral:antisense_RNA from 1 species